AGCCGCCGCGGGAACACCGGCGGCCCGAGUGGUGAUCGUGAUUAUUGGGUCUAAAGGGUCCGUAGCCGGUUUGGUCAGUCCUCCGGGAAAUCUGAUAGCUCAACUAUUAGGCUUUCGGGGGAUACUGCCAGACUUGGAACCGGGAGAGGUAAGAGGUACUACAGGGGUAGGAGUGAAAUCUUGUAAUCCCUGUGGGACCACCUGUGGCGAAGGCGUCUUACCAGAACGGGUUCGACGGUGAGGGACGAAAGCUGGGGCACGAACCGGAUUAGAUACCCGGGUAGUCCCAGCCGUAAACGAUGCUCGCUAGGUGUCAGGCAUGGCGCGACCGUGUCUGGUGCCGCAGGGAAGCCGUGAAGCGAGCCACCUGGGAAGUACGGCCGCAAGGCUGAAACUUAAAGGAAUUGGCGGGGGAGCACAACAACGGGGUGGAGCCUGCGGUUUAAUUGGACUCAACGCCGGACAACUCACCGGGGGCGACAGCAAUAUGUAGGCCAAGCUGAAGACUUUGCCUGAAUCGCUGAGGGGUGGUGCAUGG
rnacentral:rRNA from 1 species